GGAAGCGCAUGGGGUCCGGUGACCCUUCCGGUCUUCAAAACCGGCGAGACUUAGCUUUGCUGGGUCUGGUGAGUUCGACUCUCACACGCUUCCGCCA
rnacentral:tRNA from 1 species